rnacentral:tRNA from 3 species
GUAUUCUUAGCUCAGCUGGAUAGAGCAUCAGCCUUCUAAGCUGAAUGUCACAGGUUCGAAUCCUGUAGAAUAUGUCA